rnacentral:rRNA from 1 species
GACAGAGGAGCCAAGCGUUGUCCGGAUUGACUGGGCGUAAAGCGCACGCAGGCGGCUGUGCACGUGGGGUGUGAAAGCUGGCGGCUUAACUGCCAGACGCCACCUCAUACGGCACGGCUCGAGCCCGUGAGAGGUCCACGGAAUUGCCGGUGUAGUGGUGAAAUGCGUAGAGAUCGGCAGGAACACCCGGGGGGAAACCAGUGGACUGGCACGGUGCUGACGCUCAGGUGCGAAAGCGUGGGGAGCGAACCGG